GACGAACGCUGGCGGCGUGCCUAAUACAUGCAAGUAGAACGCUGAAGGAGGAGCUUGCUUCUCUGGAUGAGUUGCGAACGGGUGAGUAACGCGUAGGUAACCUGCCUGGUAGCGGGGGAUAACUAUUGGAAACGAUAGCUAAUACCGCAUAAUAGUAGAUGUCGCAUGACAUUUGCUUAAAAGGUGCAAUUGCAUCACUACCAGAUGGACCUGCGUUGUAUUAGCUAGUUGGUGAGGUAACUGCUCACCAAGGCAACGAUACAUAGCCGACCUGAGAGGGUGAUCGGCCACACUGGGACUGAGACACGGCCCAGACUCCUACGGGAGGCAGCAGUAGGGAAUCUUCGGCAAUGGACGGAAGUCUGACCGAGCAACGCCGCGUGAGUGAAGAAGGUUUUCGGAUCGUAAAGCUCUGUUGUAAGAGAAGAACGAGUGUGAGAGUGGAAAGUUCACACUGUGUCGGUAUCUUACCAGAAAGGGACGGCUAACUACGUG
rnacentral:rRNA from 1 species